ACACAUGUGAUUUGUGUAAUUUAUUCGGGGAAAAAGAUGUAUGUACAUAAAUGAUUUAAGGAUACAUAAAUUAUUAGAAGCUUCCAAGAAAUUCAAAUGAUUUAACGUACGAUCAUAAUCUAUUUUAUUUUUUUAACUGAAAUACAAGGCGGUGUUAUUUGACAUCAGGGUGUUGUCACCGGAGUGAAAUCUAUCGAGCCGCAUUCCGGAAAAAGUGGGUUUAUGUAUGUGAGUAAAGUGUCGUCACUGAUUCGCCUUUGCAGUUCGCACAGGCUUAUCAGCGACAACAACACCAUUUUAACGAAAAAUCUUUUAAAUGAACCUUUUCACAUAACUACAACCAAAAUUUGCGAAUCUGGAUUUUUUUAAUUAUGUACAUUUACAAAUACGUAAAAUUGCCCCUUUUAAAGCGGACGGGUUUCUCCCUGAUUAGCCUGAACGAACUGCACAUGACUUCACAUGCUAAUCAGUGACGACCCUUAACGCACAUGAGUGAAGUCCGAUUGCCCUUACUCUACAGUUUAUUUAAAUACGACAAAUAUUUGUAAAGAUCGCAAAACAUGUGGCUUUUCUACACGAUCUGAUUGGACGUUUUAAGGUACAUAACUACAAAUAGAAAUUCCGGUAAGCAAACAGCGCAGACCCUGAUGAGACGCCGCAUCAUGCGCAUACAUGGGUUAAACGCACAAACGGUAUUCGGUGUCUCUUUUACCAAAGGUAUUUUGUACAGCAAUAUGUAGGUACUAGGAACAAUAACGAGGUUUACGUUACAUAACAGUGAAUAUAGUGUUAUGAAUAGGCAAUAAAAGACAAUAUGUUUAUUGUUAUUGUAUGCAAAUUUUUUUCCCACUGAUAUUCUAUAUUUUGAAUGUUUAAUUAAAAUUUGAUUAUACAAGUAGGUGUGCAUGGAAGGACAAUUGUUUAUUCGUGGCAUAUAAGGCUGUACUCUCUAAAAAAUAUCAUAGUUUACUCGAAGGUAUGUUUUAUUUUUUAGACUAUUGUUUUGGUUUUAUCUUUUGGAGAUAGUGAUAGGGCGUGAAUAGGUGUUCAUUUAUAAAUCACUGAAAUAUUAUAAAAUUAGAGACUAAAGUAAAAAAAUGGACGUAAAAAAGAAGGUCCAAACAUAGUCGAUUUUGAUUUGCGUUGAAUUAUUUCUUGGUUUGUACAUGACAUAUCUGUUUUAUUGCUUAAAUCGAUUCAUCUUAGAAUGUCCGUAAAGCAGAGGCGUAGCGAGGGGGGACAGGGGGGCGGGACUUUGCCCUGGGCGCCAAUAUAAGGGGGCGCCCGAAGAAGACAUAUUAAAUUCGUGUUGGACUUAGAAUUUUAAGGUCCUUGCCUCUCGAAAUUUGGCAUUACGAGGCCUAAAUGAAAGUUUGACAGAUGAAGAUGCAACAAAUGCUGGAAAUUGUCUGUCUCUUGUAAAACUCGUUGCUCAGUUCGACCCAGUUUUGGAAAACCACCUAAAGCAUGCAACAUAAAAUCCAAGGUCAGUCUGCUACCUUUCACCAGAAAUCCAAAAUGAAUUUCUCAGCAUUCUAUCAUCUACUGUCAGGAAUCAAUUGUUGAAUGAUAUCAGAAAAAAAAAUAUUAUUGUAUUUUACCGGACUCAACUCCCAAUCUCGGACACAGAGAGCAGUUGUCUGAAGUAAUCCGGUUUGUCCAUGUCGAUUUUGUGAGCAAGAAAGUCACGAUAAAAGAGUCAUUCCUGGUAUAUAUUGAGAUUCAUGCAAAAGAUGCAGCUUCUUUAAAAAGAGCCAUCGUUACGAAAUUGGAAUCUGACUACUUAUCUCUUGAUGAUUGUAGAUCGCAAUGUUAUGAUAAUGCAGCGUGAUGACUGGUCAUAUAUCUGAUCUUCAACAAAGAAUUUGUGCAAGAAAUCCACGGGUAGUGUUCGUUAAUUGUGACAAUCAUAGUUUGAACUUGGCCGGAGUUCAUUCAGCCAAACAAGAUGCACUCGUCGUAACUUUUUUCGAUACAGUUGAAUUUUUUUUCUCGUUCUACGCUUCGUUGGGAAGAACUUAUUAUGAUCAUUGUUAAGCAGGAAUCUGAAACCCGAUGGAGUGCGAGAUUUGAAGCUGUUACAGCAAUCUUUGUGGGAUUAAGGGAACUAGUGGAAUUGCUUGAGAGACCAUCAGAAGAUAUAAAUAAGUCAACUGAUACUAGAACUGAUGCAGAAAUGUUGCUUGCGAAUGUUCUGGAAUUCAAUUUCCUCGUGCUUAUCUAUUUCUGGCACGACAUUCUAGGACGAAUUGAUCGGGUUCAAAAACGUCUUCAGGACCCUACCAUGAAUUUGGAUGCAGUCUCUGAUCUUGAAGCACUUGAAGCACACAUUCAUUCAACGCGCGAUGGUUUGUGCGGAAGCGCCCUUAACAGUGCCAAGAAUAGGUGUGAAGAAUGGGGAAUUGAAAUUCAAAGACGCACCAGAAGAAGGGGGCGGAUGCCUUGAGAAUUGGCACGGGAUGCCGGGCUUUCUGCAGGAGAGGAGAUUGCUCGCGCAAUGAAGAGUGUUUUGGAUAGAUUUCACAAGAAAUAACAACAAGAUACAUUCGCCUCAAAGACUUGAACUCACAGUUUGGAUUUUUACUGUAUGUUCACAAUCUUGUAAAAAGCGAGGAUUUGAAAACUCUUCGCCAAAAUUUCUUUGAUUUAGCCAAUUUUAUGACACUGAUAUUCAAUGCGAAGAACUGUUUAACGAGAUUCAGGACUGUAAAAUGUUAUAUUUCUUUCAUUGAGUCGUAUGGUGAUGAUGUCUUUCCCAAUUUGCGUAUUGCUCUGUAAAUUCUUUAAACAAAUGCAGUAUCAAUAGCCAGUUGGGAGCAUUCCUUCAGCAAGCUGAUGCUCUUUCUCUUAUAUCUAAGGGGAUCGACGGGACUUGAUCGUCUCUGUGAUCUCGCACUUCUCAGUAUAGAGAAGGAAACGGUUGAAAAAAGACUGAUGCUAUAAUAGACAAGUUUGCGGGCAUGAAAGCUAGAAAAAUUAAUUUUAUUAGUAUGAAGAAUUUUUUGGAAUGGGCGCAUUGGGUGGCUGUUGAUAAAGACUAACCGGCAAUAUUAUAUUGUCUCCAAUUGGUUUUCCUUUUCUGUCUGUUUAGCUCACCUGAGCACAACAUGCUCAUGGUCAGCUUUUGUGAUCGCCUUUUGUCCGUCGUGCAACGUUCGUUGUCAUCAUUUGCCUUGUUUGGUGAUAGUGGUAUUAUGUCAUGUUGCCUAUCGACUUAUGUGCUCUUAUUUUUCAAUGAGACCGAAUACUGUACUCCAAGGUUUCACAAGGAAAGGCGCGCACAAUUUAUACAUUGUCCAGUGGGCGCCGAAUAAUGUCGCUACGCCUCUGCCGUAAAGAAAAGAUGCAUGUCAGACGACGUCGACGUACAGCCGAACGUUACUAGUGCAAUGUCAGCAUCCAGUUGGCUGUGGAUCACUAUGUAGCAUCCUUCCUGAAUGAAUGAGGAUCGCGCGUCGCACAGCUUCCAACAUUCUUUCACUCUUUCACAAGCGCGCGGAUGAAUACAUCGCGGUCAUCAGAGGUUUUGAGGACUAGGUGCGGUUCACUUAGAGAUAGUGUGACGGGGUGAUAAGGCGUCGAAAGGUUAUCGUCUGCUCAUUGUACUCACGCCACGAGAGUCAGACGGUACUACGUGUCAGUGAAUUCGGGAACGCCUUGGGUUGCAGGGUUCGUCCAACAUUUUCGUUCCUCACAAUGUACAUGCACGUAAAACCAUUGUACUGAAAUGAAGAGAAAUACAUCUAUUUAUUAGCAUGCGCUAUUCAUAACUAAUUUCAAAGAGGGAUUUUAUAUUAAAAAAGAGCAUGUCUUUCAAAAUAUUUGUUACAUCAACGAUAAAAACAUAAUCCAUUGAGUGCAUGUUGGCAAGACUUCCUUUAACGUAUUGAAUAUGAAGCGUGGAGGAUUUCCAAAGUUAUUAAUGGCCGUUGUUAAAGUUGUGCCUGCAUCACGCUCGUGGCCGCCCCCUGUCAUCUGCCAUCGGCUCGCAGACUUAUAAAUAAAAGUCAGCUAAUAAGAACCUUCACAAAUAAACCAUUGGAAACCCAUCUGCAGGGAGAGCUUGAAUGGACCGCCUAGUGUUCGCUUUGCUCACGUCUGCAAUUUCAAUUAUUGAUUGUCAGUCGAUCCCAGGUUUCCCGUGCAUCUCGUGAAGAUGUUAUUGCAAUAUUUAGCAAUGGGUGCGUAUUUUAAUAUGGAAACAAGAAUUUUUUAUAUUGACUCACACACUAUUUUUAGAUUUUGAAAAUGUAAUAAUGCAGUCUGAUAAUUUGUUCAUUUCAAUGUCUAAUGUGUUUAGCCGCAUGUUCCUACGAAACGGUAGUUAGCGCUUUUUAAAUAAUUGGCACUGGCAUUGUGUAGUUUUAAUAGUUGAAACAAUUUUGUAAUAAAUCCGAUGUGAAACACAGGUCUGAAAAGCGCACAUUUGUGUGUCCAAUUUCGGCUCAGUCAGAUAUUUAAACAAACGACCAUACUGCAUAUUGCAACAAAUACGUCAACGAAAUGUCAAUAAAACAAAAAUGUGUAACUGAAACUUCCAUUGGUAUAAAGGGCACUGUCGACAUUGUUAGUCUCAAACUUGAAAUAAUGUUAAUAAGAAUUUGACUAUCGAAUGUAAAUUAAUGCAGAAUAGUAAGCCAAGAAGAACAUUCAAGUUGAUAAAAUGAUUUUGUUAAAAUAGGUAUUCGUUAACAAUAUUAUCUGACUAACUAAUAGACACAUUCGUUGAAAACCUGAUACUAGUUAAAUGUAAAUACGUAUGUUAUUAGUACGUUUUAAAUUAAUUGUUAUAAUCACCCCCCCCCCCCCCUCCAUUUUUUCAUGACCAGACAUUGAAAUUGUCACCGGUUUGCAUCUCACUCUUAAACUAGGUACGUUGAUGAUGCCACAUAAAUAUAAAUUAUUAUGUACAUUUUCUAUGACUGCCAAGACAACCGAAAUGCCCACAUUAGUGAUUGUAAUGUUUCUAUAAGAUGUUUAAAGUACAUGUAUUUUCAGACUGAUCCGUCAUUUUACAAUCGAGCGUGUUAGCUGCGUUCAUUGCUACUUCCGGUGGCAAGCUUAGGUGGCAGAUUACCAUAAUCUUCCACUUAUCUGCGCUGUAGAUAUAGUAAGACAGCUACACAGAACUGGCAUUAAACAGGCUUCCGAUGAAUUCUUAACAAUCCUGAGCCUACCAGACAUUCCAGUUGCAUGAAGGAUACCGGAAGUCAGAACUGGUAUGGAAAACUGUCAUACUUGUUGUUAACUAAAACGUCAGUAGACGUUGGUUUUCGGUUAAUCUUAUGAUGCUGGUUGCUGUACUGGUGGUAGUGGAGAUGAUGAUGAACGCGGUUGCAAUUUCUGGUCUGAUGAUGAAAGCAUGUUUGUAAUAAUGGCGCUGUGUCAUUGCAACAAACUGUGCAUAUGAAAUACAACAAAUGUUCAUCAAAAGGUAAUUGUGCUCUCGACAACAAGAUCUUUCGUGUAAAAACUUUGAGGGUGAUUUGUCACUGCCGGAACAAUUAUGCAACGGGCUAUCAAAAGUAAAAUAAAGCAGAGCAGUAGUUCAAGUAAAUACAUUCAAUUUGUAUAUCAAGUUCGAUUAACCCAUUUAUGCCUAGAGUCUAGAAAAAGGCCUUUGCAAACUGUGUAGACCCAGAUGAGACGCCGCAUGCUGCGGCGUCUCAUCAGGGUCUGCGCUUUUUGCUUAAAAUAAUUUCUGUUAGAAAUAUUCUAAAUAUAGAAAUAAAUAUACUAGACAUCCCUAAGUUUGGAAAUAAAUUGAUCCAAUAUAGAAAGAGAGUCCGCUAGGCAUAAAUGGGUUAAACUGAAUUUUGUUUGGAAUAAAAAGCAGCCAUUACAACAAGACACAAUUAUCUUCAAGCUGAAUAGACGCGUUGUAAUAAAACUGUGAGAAACUCGGCGAAAAAAAUAGCGGCAAAAAAACUCACAAGCGGUUUACAUGCCCGCUGCGAUGAUAAACCUACAUUAAGCUUUUCCAGACUAAUUACAUUAUUCUGACAUAAACAAGUGCCCUAAAAACAUCAGAUGUAAUAGAGGGAACUAUGUUGAAAAUGUUCAAAACAACAGAAGUGGCAAUCCAUUUCCUGGGAUGGUCUUCAACAGGUGGCAGACGUCACUAUAAACGACUUUCCCGCUCUACAGAACCAGGGAGCAAGGUCAAGUUAUAAAUCACAAUCAAUUUAUGCAUCUUGGCAUAAUAUUUCAUGCACACAAUAAGCUAAAAUGUAUCUAGUAGCGUCCUUUUGACAUAAAGCUAAUUUUUCUUAUGACGACUCCAUUAAUUGUUUCAAUGACCAGUUCAACCACUUUUUAGCCGCAUGUGAACACACAUUUAACCCAGUUAUGAUUAGUGAACUCGCCUAUCCUUCUAAAUUGGAUCAAUUUAUUUCCAAAAUUAGGGAUGUCUAGUAUAUUUAUUUCUAUGUUUAGAAUAUUUCUUACAGAAAUUUCUUUAAGCAAACAGUGCAGACCCUGAUGAGACGCCGCAUGAUGGUCUACGCUGUUUGCCAAUGCCUUUUUUCUAGACGCUAGGCAUGAAUGGGUUAAUUAUCGUCUUCUUAGACCGAGACUGGUCUUCAAACAAUAUUUGCAAUUUUAGCCUCGCUCAGGGCUUAAAUGGAUCAUUUCACAGAUUUUGGCAUGUAUUUAAGUUUUUCAUUCAAUGCCUUAUAUUGAUAAAUGUUAACAUUUUAUCUAAAAAGCUCCAGUAAAAAAAGAAAACCAUUAAAAAAGGAAAAUAAGUAACUCAAACUGGUUUCCAGCCACUGAACCCUGGAGUAAAAGUCUAUCCCUGAGACCACUCGGCCAUCCGUGCUCAUACCAUGAAGGAUGUAUUGUAUACUUUAUAUAAGCAAUCCUCGUAGUGUGGCACAAUUAAAUGAACACAACAAAACUCUCCAAAAUUAUUAAAUCAUUUCGUGUUGUAACGCUUUAUACAUUUCUGUUUAGCAUGGUAAAUGUUCAAUUUUACUAUUUUCUUACAAAUAUCAUAACUACAACGAAAAUUUGCGAAUCUGACACAUUUUUUAAAAUAAUUUUUGUCAAUUUACCAACACGUGUGAAAAGGCCCUUUUAAUACAUGUGCGGAACGUGUAGUCCCAGCUUAGCGGCGCAUACCAUCUAGGCUAAUUGUUUCAGCCUACACUAGAUUUUGUAUAAAAGAGAACUCAUUUAAACGCAAACUUAUGUGAAAGCGGACUGUACAGACAUAUCUGGGACGACAUUUUAAGCGCAUGCAUCAAGCCCAGUUUUCCCAGAGCGCCGCUCAAUUGAUGAUCCAUUCAAGCUCUCAAGUUACUGUAAUUGAUGCGUUUAGCAAAAAAUAAUAGAUGACACUUAGCAGGUAUAUACAUUAUUCGCUGUCUAUUCAAUUCCAUAAUUUCCGUUGACAAUCAAAAAGGCCAUAAUAUUAUUUCAUUAUUAACUAUAUGAGUAUAUAAUGUUAUGACUGUGGAACAUAUAAUAACAACAAAAAUAACAUUCUCAAAAACAACACAUGUCUUAGUUGUAUUAGCUUUAAACAUGUUUUAUUUUAAAGGGGCCUUUUCACAGAUUUUGGCAUAUUUUGAAGUUUGUCAUUAAAUGCUUUAUAUUGAUAAAUGUAAACAUUGGAUCUUAAAAGCUCCAGAAAAAAAUCAAGAAUAAAUUAAAACAAGGAAAAAAAAAGUAGCCGGUACCAGGGCUCGAACCAGUGACCCCCGGAGUCCUGGAGUUAGUCUGAAGUUAAAACGCAUUAGCCCUCUCGUCUAUUCCGCCGACCAUACACGGUAAUU